GACGAACGCUGGCGGCGUGCCUAAUACAUGCAAGUUGAGCGCUGAAGGUUGGUACUUGUACCAACUGGAUGAGCAGCGAACUGGUGAGUAACGCGUGGGGAAUCUGCCUUUGAGCGGGGGACAACAUUUGGAAACGAAUGCUAAUACCGCAUAAAAACUUUAAACACAAGUUUUAAGUUUGAAAGAUGCAAUUGCAUCACUCAAAGAUGAUCCCGCGUUGUAUUAGCUAGUUGGUGAGGUAAAGGCUCACCAAGGCGAUGAUACAUAGCCGACCUGAGAGGGUGAUCGGCCACAUUGGGACUGAGACACGGCCCAAACUCCUACGGGAGGCAGCAGUAGGGAACCUUCGGCAAUGGACGAAAGUCUGACCGAGCAACGCCGCGUGAGUGAAGAAGGUUUUCGGAUCGUAAAACUCUGUUGGUAGAGAAGAACGUUGGUGAGAGUGGAAAGCUCAUCAAGUGACGGUAACUACCCAGAAAGGGACGGCUAACUACGU
rnacentral:rRNA from 1 species